AAAGAACUUUGAAGAGAGAGUUCAAGAGUACGUGAAACCGCUCAGAGGUAAACGGGUGGAUCCGCAAAGUCGGUCCGCGGAAUUCAGCGCGGCGCGCGGCCCGGGGUCGCCGUGGUUCGGGAUCCUUGUGAACCGACCGCGGUGCCUAGCCGGGCUCCGCCGCGUGCACUUUCCGCGGACAGAGAGCCACAACCGGUUCGGUGAGCUGCGGUGACAGGCCGGGAGGGUUGUAGGUGGGGGCGCUCGCGUCCCUACCAGCCUUCCCCGGUGAGCCGCCGCCGGACCGAGGGACCGCCACGCGCUUCGAGGCCACCCUCCCCUCCGGGUGAGUUCGACUGGGAGAGACUGGGCAACCGUGUCUCCUGACCGCUCACCCGCGAUCGGCGCAGGGCUGGCCGGGCGCGAAAAAAUAGAGGGUUUGUGGCAAGUCUGUCGGCAUUCCACCCGACCCGUCUUGAAACACGGACCAAGGAGUCUAACAUGCGCGCGAGUCAUUGGGCGGUACGAAACCCAAAGGCGCAGUGAAAGCGAGGGUCGUCUCCGAGCGGCCCAGGUGGGAUCCUCUCCUCUCCGAGCAAUCUGUGAGGGGUGGC
rnacentral:rRNA from 1 species